CGUUAUGGCGGCUGUGCGUGUGGGCGCCUUCGGGCGCGCCAGGUCGUUCUCCUCAUGGUCCCUGGUCUGUCAACCCACGCACAGUUGCCACCCUC
rnacentral:antisense_RNA from 1 species